rnacentral:rRNA from 1 species
GACGAACGCUGGCGGCGUGCUUAACACAUGCCAGUCGAACGGAAAGGCCCUGCUUUUGUGGGGUGCUCGAGUGGCGAACGGGUGAGUAACACGUGAGUAACCUGCCCUUGACUUUGGGAUAACUUCAGGAAACUGGGGCUAAUACCGGAUAGGAGCUCCUGCUGCAUGGUGGGGGUUGGAAAGUUUCGGCGGUUGGGGAUGGACUCGCGGCUUAUCAGCUUGUUGGUGGGGUAGUGGCUUACCAAGGCUUUGACGGGUAGCCGGCCUGAGAGGGUGACCGGCCACAUUGGGACUGAGAUACGGCCCAGACUCCUACGGGAGGCAGCAGUGGGGAAUAUUGCACAAUGGGCGGAAGCCUGAUGCAGCAACGCCGCGUGCGGGAUGACGGCCUUCGGGUUGUAAACCGCUUUCGCCUGUGACGAAGCGUGAGUGACGGUAAUGUGUAAAGAAGCACCGGCUAACUACGUG